rnacentral:rRNA from 2 species
GAUUUCUGGUUUAAUGUACCUGUCCCGCUGCGGUAACGCAUGUGAGUGACGGAGUAUGUUUGCCAUCCUUCUAGAGAAUACUAGCUAUCCUUCACUGGACCGGUUAGUGUCAUCUAGAUCUUUUACUUUGAAAAAAUUAGAGUGUUUCAAGCAGGCGUUUUGCUAUGAAUACAUUAGCAUGGAAUAAUGAGUUAGGACUUCGGUUCUAUUUUGUUGGUUUCUAGGACUGAAGUAAUGAUUGAUAGGGAUAGUUGGGGGUGCUAGUAUUCAGUGGCCAGAGGUGAAAUUCUUGGAUUCACUGAAGACUAACUUAUGCGAAAGCAUU